rnacentral:rRNA from 1 species
GAUGAACGCUAGCGGCAGGCUUAAUACAUGCAAGUCAAGGGGGUAGCAAUACAACCGGCGCACGGGUGAGUAACGCGUACACAACAUACCAUAUACUGGAGUAUAGCUUUGGGAAACUGAAGGUAAUCCUCCAUAACAUUGCGAGAGGGCAUCUGAUUGCAAUUAAAGUUUCGGCGGUGUAUGAUUGGUGUGCGUUUGAUUAGCUAGUUGGUAGGGUAACGGCCUACCAAGGCGACGAUCAAUAGCUGGCGUGAGAGCGCGACCAGCCACACUGGAACUGAGACACGGUCCAGACUCCUACGGGAGGCAGCAGUAGGGAAUAUUGGACAAUGGAGGAAACUCUGAUCCAGCCAUGCCGCGUGAUAGAUGAAGGCCCUCUGGGUUGUAAAUAUCUUUUAUCUGGGAAGAAACACUCCUAUUCUUAGGAACUUGACGGUACCAGAGGAAUAAGCACCGGCUAACUCCGUGCCAGCAGCCGCGGAAAGU